ACAGCAGCAGCCGCGGUAACACGGAGGAUCCAAGCGUUAUCCGGAAUCAUUGGGUUUAAAGGGUCCGUAGGCGGUCUUGUAAGUCAGUGGUGAAAGCCCAUCGCUCAACGGUGGAACGGCCAUUGAUACUGCAGGACUUGAAUUAUUGGGAAGUAACUAGAAUAUGUAGUGUAGCGGUGAAAUGCUUAGAGAUUACAUGGAAUACCAAUUGCGAAGGCAGGUUACUACCAAUUGAUUGACGCUGAUGGACGAAAGCGUGGGUAGCGAACAGGAUUAGAUACCCCCGUAGUCCCUGUCUCUUAUAC
rnacentral:rRNA from 1 species